rnacentral:lncRNA from 1 species
UAUUCUGAAGAAGGGGGGCGGGUUUGUCAUAUAUAACAUUAAUAGUAACCAACCAAACAAUAUAUUAAAUGCCCACUUUUCUACUAAUUCAUUAUGAAAAAAUUUCCACAUAACCACCACGUAUUGUAAUAAAAUAAAAAUAAAUAAAGUCAUCAUUUCUGAACCUAACUAAAUCCCAAAUAUUCAUCCUCUCCUCCUCCUUACUCUCCCAGUUAUUCUCUCAAACAACACUCAGACACUACACAUAUAGAUCAAUUUAGAGAUUCUUUUUCCUUUCUUCGCAUAAAUAUUCCUGCUAAU